UACGUAGGAUCCAAGCGUUGUCCGGAAUCACUGGGUGUAAAGGGUGCGUAGGCGGGCUUGUGCGUCAGAGGUUAAAUCCCACAGCUUAACUGUGGAACUGCCUUUGAUACGGCAAGUCUUGAGUGUGAGAGAGGGUGGUAGAAUUCUUGGUGUAGCGGUGAAAUGCGUAGAUAUCAAGAGGAAUACCCGUGGCGAAGGCGGCCACCUGGCUCACUACUGACGCUGAGGCACGAAAGCGUGGGGAGCAAACAGG
rnacentral:rRNA from 1 species